rnacentral:rRNA from 1 species
GACGAACGCUGGCGGCGUGCUUAACACAUGCAAGUCGAACGGAAAGGCCCUGCUUUUGUGGGGUGCUCGAGUGGCGAACGGGUGAGUAACACGUGAGUAACCUGCCCUUGACUUUGGGAUAACUUCAGGAAACUGGGGCUAAUACCGGAUAGGAGCUCCUGUUGCAUGGUGGGGGUUGGAAAGUUUCGGCGGUUGGGGAUGGACUCGCGGCUUAUCAGCUUGUUGGUGGGGUAGUGGCUUACCAAGGCUUUGACGGGUAGCCGGCCUGGGAGGGUGACCGGCCACAAUGGGACUGAGAUACGGCCCAGACGCCUACGGGAGGCAGCAGGGGGGAGUAUGGCACAAUGAGCGGAAGCCUGAUGCAGCAACGCCGCGGUCGUGAUGACGGCCUUCGGGGUGUAAACCGCUUUCGCCUGUGACGAAGCGUGUGUGACGGUAAUGGAUAAAGAAGCACCGGCUAACUACGUG